UUCCGGAAAGCGGAAAUCAGUCUUGGUGACAACAGCAGGAUGAAUGCCAAGAUCGAACCGAAGAACAUCUUGGUCAGGUAAUGCAUCAGGUCAAUAUCAGAGUCGGUGUCAUCAGGCUUCCUGGUCACGAGUGCUGAGGCAGAGGGCAGGGCUUCGACAACAGCAUCAGCAAGGUCCGAUAUGAACGAGGAAGUACAUCCAAGAGCAGGAACCCUACCCCAGUUCUCGAUUCCAGAUUCCAGGGCCAACUCCUUGUACUCCAUG
rnacentral:lncRNA from 1 species